CAGCAGCCGCGGUAAUACGAAGGGGGCUAGCGUUGUUCGGAAUUACUGGGCGUAAAGCGCACGUAGGCGGAUAUUUAAGUCAGGGGUGAAAUCCCAGAGCUCAACUCUGGAACUGCCUUUGAUACUGGGUAUCUUGAGUAUGGAAGAGGUGAGUGGAAUUCCGAGUGUAGAGGUGAAAUUCGUAGAUAUUCGGAGGAACACCAGUGGCGAAGGCGGCUCACUGGUCCAUUACUGACGCUGAGGUGCGAAAGCGUGGGGAGCAAGCAGGAUUAGAUACCCCCGUAGUCCCUGUCUCUUAUAC
rnacentral:rRNA from 1 species